rnacentral:rRNA from 1 species
ACGUAGGGGACGAGCGUUGUCCGGAUUUACUGGGCGUAAAGGGCGCGUAGGCGGUCAUUUAAGUCAGCUGUGAAAUGGUUUGGCUUAACCGGAUCAUGCGGUUGAAACUGGAUGACUGGAGUGCUGGAGAGGCAAGUGGAAUUCCCAGUGUGGGGGUGGAAGGCGAGGAGAUUGGGAAGAGGACCGGUGGCGAGGGCGGCUUGCUGGAUAGCAUCUCAUGCUGAGCCGCGUAAGCCAGUGUAGCAAACGG